rnacentral:lncRNA from 1 species
GAUAUUGGCUCCACUCACGCCAGCCAUCUUGCAAUCCCAAUAUAAUCAGAUGAUGGCUUCCUUGUCUUCAUGAUCCUUCAAGGUACAUCUCGGGGAUAAAACUCAUUGGAAUUCGAUAUAUCACUGGCUGCAGUAGAGCUGACCGAUUCUCAUUUCUUGUUGGUGAUGCAGAGGUGGUUCUAACAUGUAUGUUCUAAAAUGAGAAGGAAAUAAAAAUUCCUUGGCAUCUGCACUGCACAUGGCAGUUCCACAACUGACAGCCCACUAGAUCAACUAGUAAAUCAUCACAAUAUGCAAGUAUUGCCAGA